rnacentral:rRNA from 1 species
UACAGAGGGGGCAAGCGUUGUUCGGAAUUACUGGGCGUAAAGGGCGCGUAGGCGGCCUGCUAAGUCGAACGUGAAAUCCCUGGGCUCAACCCAGGAACUGCGUCCGAUACUGGUUGGCUUGAAUCCGGGAGAGGGACGUGGAAUUCCAGGUGUAGCGGUGAAAUGCGUAGAGUAUCUGGAGGAACACCGGUGGCGAAGGCGACGUCCUGGACCGGGCAUUGACGGCU